rnacentral:misc_RNA from 1 species
GUGAAUCAUCAAAUUUUUGAACGCAAAUUGCACUCUCUUCGGAGAGUAUGCCUGUUUGAGGUUCAGUAUUAAUAAAAAUCGGUGUGUUGCUUCUUUGUGACGCUCCGGAGUUUGGGUCAUCUUAUAUCCUUUAGGUUUUAAGAGGCUUAAAAUUGACUUUUUUUUCUGAUUUUUGAUGUACAUAAAUUUUUUUUUUUUUUUGUUUGUCUUAAUUCUCCAAAUCCUAUUAGAUUCGACCAAU